UACGUAGGGGGCAAGCGUUGUCCGGAUUUAUUGGGCGUAAAGAGCGUGUAGGCGGCUUUACAGGUCCGUUGUGAAAACUCGAGGCUCAACCUCGAGACGCCGGUGGAAACCGUAAGGCUAGAGUCCGGAAGAGGAGAGUGGAAUUCCUGGUGUAGCGGUGAAAUGCGCAGAUAUCAGGAGGAGCACCCGUGGCGAAAGCGGCUCUCUGGGACGGUACUGACGCUGAGACGCGAAAGCGUGGGGAGCAAACGGG
rnacentral:rRNA from 1 species